rnacentral:rRNA from 1 species
CCUACGGGAGGCAGCAGUGGGGAAUAUUGGACAAUGGGGGGAACCCUGAUCCAGCCAUGCCGCGUGUGUGAAGAAGGCCCUCGGGGUGUAAAGCACUUUCAGUGAGGAAGAACGCCUGGUGGUUAAUACCCAUCAGGAAAGACAUCACUCACAGAAGAAGCACCGGCUAACUCCGUGCCAGCAGCCGCGGUAAUACGGAGGGUGCGAGCGUUAAUCGGAAUUACUGGGCGUAAAGCGCGCGUAGGUGGCUUGAUAAGCCGGUUGUGAAAGCCCCGGGCUCAACCUGGGAACGGCAUCCGGAACUGUCAAGCUAGAGUGCAGGAGAGGAAGGUAGAAUUCCCGGUGUAGCGGUGAAAUGCGUAGAGAUCGGGAGGAAUACCAGUGGCGAAGGCGGCCUUCUGGACUGACACUGACACUGAGGUGCGAAAGCGUGGGUAGCAAACAGGAUUAGAUACCCUGGUAGUC